UACUAGAGAAAGUCCUAUUUGUGAAAAAAUAUCCCACCCUAGAAAAGCAGAAGUAACACUGUAGUGGUCAAUUAGUCUUUUUUUUUUUUUUUUUUUUUUUUGAGUAGUUUGAUAUCUUGAAGAGGUCAAGAUUAUUUUCAUGUAGCUAACCCUGCAUCUAGGAGCCUCCAUAGGUAACCUAACUGCCCCAAGGUCUGCUGAAUGCUAACCAUUCCCCAGGGUGUCACUGAUUGCUUUUAAGCAUCGGCACCUCUGAGCCACAAGUCCUCUUUGAGGUAUCAAAAUAUGUCUUUAGCUAAUGAAUACCUAAACACCCACAUGCAAAAGCCAUAUGUAAUCUCAGAGAUUCAGUAUAGUAGCUUUUUGUUUGUGUCCCUGCAUCAUGCCAAGUUGAGUGAAGAGGCCAGCACGGGGACAGGACCGGUGGUGUGAAGGUCACCUUUGAGAAGUGAGAUAAAAAGAGGCGAGUGAUGGAGAGGGUUUGGCAGGGCGAUGCAGUGGGGAGCACAGGCUGCAGUUACUGGGGGUGAAUGCAUGAGGGGAGGGUCCUGGGGUUAUGCACAGGAGCAGGGGCUGGAGUUGUGGAAAUUAUGAAAAUGAGCCUGGAAGUCAGUAAUGCGAUCUUGUGUCUUAGGCCAUUAAGGCAUUUCUCACAAAGAGCUGCAAAAUACACUCAGUUGUUUGGGUAACCUUAUGGGUACAAAUUAAAGAGUAAAAGAUAGCUGGAGGAUGCAGAGGAUGUCCUUGGAUUUUUCCUUCUUGUUUGAGCUCUGCUAACAUCCACUCCAGGUAACUGCCUAAUUCUGUUCCUACUGACAUUUUUAAACAAGCAGUAAAAACAGACUUCUCCCCCACAUACAAUGUGAUGGUCACACUCUUGCAUGUUAGACGAGCAAACGUUUCCUAGACUUCUUACAUCCAUUCACAAAAAGAGAUUCCCCAUUUUGCAUUCAUGCCUGGCUCCACUAAAAUUAGUGUUUUUCUCUCCAAGUAACUCAGAAGUGAGGUGGUGCCUCCUGCCACGAUGGUGUCUGCCACAUCUGAGGAGCAUCUGUGGGGAACAAUCCAAAGCUGCAACAGGCUUCCUGCAGCUGCACUCAGUUCACAGGGGGUAGGGUUUUUAUU